rnacentral:rRNA from 1 species
CACCGCGGUCAUACGAUUAACCCAAAUUAAUAAGCACCGGCGUAAAGUAUGUUUAAGAAACAAAAUCAAACUAAAGCCAAAUUCAAUUCUAGCCGUAAAAAACCAACAAUUAUAAUAAAAUAACCAACGAAAGUGGCUUUAUAACAUCUGAACACAUGAUAGCUAAGACA